rnacentral:rRNA from 1 species
UACAGAGGUCCCGAGCGUUGUUCGGAUUCACUGGGCGUAAAGGGUGCGUAGGUGGCAUGGUAAGUUUGAUGUGAAAGCUCAGGGCUUAACCCUGAAAUGGCAUUGAAUACUACUGUGCUGGAGGUUUGGAGGGGGGACUGGAAUUCUUGGUGUAGCAGUGAAAUGCGUAGAUAUCAAGAGGAACACCAGUGGCGAAGGCGGCCUUCUGGACGGAUACUGACGCUGAGGCGCGAAAGCCAGGGGAGCAAACGGG